UGCUCAGCAACUCCUAUCUCUACCUCCUCGUGGUACUGGCUGGGGUACGAGUAACCUCAGAGAAGAUCCCCGGUGGGAACUUUGGUCGUAUGCUGACAAGGAAGG
rfam:Aedes aegypti strain Liverpool supercont1.57 genomic scaffold, whole genome shotgun sequence.